rnacentral:rRNA from 1 species
AACGAACGCUGGCGGCAUGCCUAACACAUGCAAGUCGAACGAGACCUUCGGGUCUAGUGGCGCACGGGUGCGUAACGCGUGGGAACCUGCCUUUAGGUUCGGAAUAACUCAGAGAAAUUUGAGCUAAUACCGGAUAAUGUCUUCGGACCAAAGAUUUAUCGCCUUUAGAUGGGCCUGCGUUGGAUUAGCUAGUUGGUGGGGUAAAGGCCUACCAAGGCGACGAUCCGAUAGCUGGUCUGAGAGGAUGAUCAGCCACACUGGGACUGAGACACGGCCCAGACUCCUACGGGAGGCAGCAGUGGGGAAUAUUGGACAAUGGGCGAAAGCCUGAUCCAGCAAUGCCGCGUGAGUGAUGAAGGCCUUAGGGUUGUAAAGCUCUUUUACCCGAGAUGAUAAUGACAGUAUCGGGAGAAUAAGCUCCGGCUAACUCCGUGCCAGCAGCCGCGGUAAUGUGACUACUG